ACGGAAGGCAGCAGUGAGGAAUAUUGGUCAAUGGGCGAGAGCCUGAACCAGCCAAGUCGCGUGAAGGAUGAAGGUUCUAUGGAUUGUAAACUUCUUUUGUUCGAGGGUAAAGUGAGGGAUGCGUCCCUUAUUGCAAGUAUCGAACGAAUAAGCAUCGGCUAACUCCGUGCCAGCAGCCGCGGUAAUACGGAGGAUGCGAGCGUUAUCCGGAUUUACUGGGUGUAAAGGGCGCGUAGGCGGGGAUGCAAGUCAGGUGUGAAAUCUAUGGGCUUAACCCAUAAACUGCAUUUGAAACUGUAUCUCUUGAGUGUCGGAGAGGUAGAUGGAAUUCCUAGUGUAGCGGUGAAAUGCGUAGAUAUUAGGAGGAACACCAGUGGCGAAGGCGAUCUACUGGACGAUAACUGACGCUGAGGCGCGAAAGCGUGGGGAGCAAACAGGAUUAGAUACCCUGGUA
rnacentral:rRNA from 1 species